rnacentral:rRNA from 1 species
CAAAAACAUAGCUACCCGCGAUAAUGUGUAGUAAUUUCUGCUCAGUGAAUUUUAAAUAGCCGCAGUACUCUGACUGUGCAAAGGUAGCGUAAUCAUUUGACUUAUAAUUGAAGUCUUGAAUGAAUGGGAAUAUGGGGGAUAACUGUAUCAUAUAUAUUAAUAGAAAUUACUUAUUGGGUGCAAAAACCCAUAAAUAAACAAUAGACGAGAAGACCCUAGAAAUUUGGAGUAGGAAGCGGUAUACUUGGUUUUUGUUGGGGCAACAGUGGAACAAUGAAUUUCUACUAUUGACAAGAAAAGAUUUUUUUGUAAGAGGAAAUUACUCUAGGGAUAACAGCGUAAUUUAUAAAUGUUUGCGACCUCGAUGUUGGAUUAGGAAUGUAUAUUUUAGAAGACUACUACAACGGCUCUGUUCGAGCU